rnacentral:lncRNA from 1 species
UAGUUUAUACGUUAAAGAAAAAAUUGAAGCCAGUCAUUCACUCAAUCUAGAAAAAAAGAAGAAGAAAAAUGAAAAAUGUGUAGAGGUGCCACAACGAAAUCAUUUUCCAUUACAACAGUAUCUAGGGGCGUAUUGCUAAUCGCAAUCAAAGCAUAUGUCCUUGGCCGUCUGUUCCUACCUCUCUUCGUCCGUCAGUGUGCAUCGAACAAUUGGUAUUGCCGACCCAACUGGAGGAGUUUUCAAUAACGGUUCCGUUCUCUCUCCGACGUAUCGUCUUCUUUAAAUUCCUUUACUAUUUUUGUGAUCUUCGAAUAUUUUAGCUUCCAUCGUGAUAAGUCUAAUUUCAAGGUUCGUGAAGUCUUUGUUCCUGUCUCAACCGACUGACUAGUUCUCGUGCCUUCCAUCUUGUUUGCAAGAUUUUCAAUUCAAACACCUCAUCGUGUAAACUUUGUCAUACUCGUGUUUUGUUCAUUAAUCACCGCUGCUAACGAUCCUCUGAUCUUCUCCAACGCGACUUCUGUAUUACCUUCCAUCAAGAAAAUCGGAAUUAAUCAAGUUAUGAAUAUAGGAGCCAAAUUAAGGCUUGGGAAACUCCGGACAAUGAUCAAAUGUUUAAAGUCGUCUCCGACUUGUCCUGCAAUAACAGUGGAAUGAGACAAUUCAAACCCAAAAGGACUCAAGGAAAAAAAUUACCAUAUGGGUGAUGAUACCCUCCGCCCAUUAAGGGUAGUCCAAAGAUAACAACAGUUGACUCGGUCCAACACAGUGCGUAGUCUAGAAAAGACCCAACUCAAUACUAGUCUCGAUCUGGACCCAAGCCCGACCGCCACAUUGGUCCAGGAACACCAAGGCCCGACUCAGGAACAAGGCGACGGUGUUAUCAGUACUGUCUACCUCGAGGUAGAUAACACGUUACCUAAUUUAGAAAACCUACAUUAGAGAGUGAGAGAAAAACCCUAACUUGAUUGUAACGACCAACAUUCCAGCCUUGCGUUAUUAAUAACCAUCUCAUGAUACUCGAAGCAGAGCAUCAUAAACUACCAACACUCGACCGGCUACUAAGGAGAGGAGUGCAAACAGACGGCAAAUACUUGCUCUGUGAAACGGGAGACGAAAGUAUAAAUCAUGUAUUCUUCAAUUACCAAUAAAAGGGUUUAUAAAUUACAUUGCAUCCUACCUAAACCUCCCGACAGGCCUGCUCUCAGACUUGGUAUCAUUGGCACAGGUUUUAAAUCGGG